GCUCGGGUGGCGGAACUGGCAGACGCGCCGGAUUUAGGUUCCGGUUCCGAAAGGAGUGCAGGUUCGAUUCCUGUCCCGAGCA
rnacentral:tRNA from 2 species